rnacentral:lncRNA from 1 species
UGAUUUUGCCCGAUUUGUAAGUCAAAAUGAAUGUUUUUCGAUGGCAAUUAAUGGUAGUGAAGAACCAAACGCCACAAACUCUCUUGAUGAGAAGGUCCGUCAUUUAAUGUUAAUCUUUAGUAAAGGGGCUUCAUUACCUGUUUCCACUCGUAGAGUUAAAAGAAUGCGUACCCUCGUAAUUAACGAUAGUAGAUCAUUAAAUGGCGAGAUCCUAGAAGAAUUAUUUAGGGAAUUGACAAGUUUAAGGGCAUUAGAUUAUGGCGGAUCGCCCCACUCAAGGCCGUUGUUGACUGCGGAGGUUCCAAGAAACAUAGAAAAGCUGGUACAUUUGAGAUACCUUAAUUUGUCUUUUCAGAAAAUAGUGAAACUACCGGAGACAUUGUGCGAGUUGUAUAAUCUAGAAAAGUUAGAUAUUAGUUGUUGUUUGUAUCUUAGAGAAUUACCUGAAGGGAUUGGGAAGUUAAUAAACAUGAAGCAUUUACGAAAUAGAGGUACUAGUUCUUUAAGGUACAUGCCAGUAGGGACUGGGAGAUUAACGGGUCUUAGGACCUUGGGUCAGUUCCAGGUGAGUGCAGGAGGAGGUGUUGAUGGUAGGAAAGCAUGUAGGCUUGAAUCUCUUAAAAAAUUGGAACACCUUCAAGUAUGUGGUAUACGUAGACUGGGUGAUGUAUCAGAUGUGGGCGAGGCUAAGCGAUUAGAACUUGACAAAAAGAAAUACCUCUUCAGUUUGACCCUUGAGUUUGAUAAGAAGGAAAGAGGAGGAGAAACGAGGAAGAACGAGGACGAUCAACUUCUUCUUGAAGCCCUGCGACCACCUCUGGAUUUAAAGGAAUUAGUGAUACGGUACUACCGAGGCAACACUGUUUUCCCCAGCUGGAUGACGUCAUUAAUCAACUUAAAGAGUUUAGAUCUCUCUUCCUGCGAAAAUUGCGAGCAGCUGCCUCCUUUGGGAAAAUUGCCGUCCCUUGAAAAACUCGGCCUAUCGGACAUGAAGAGUGUGAAAAGAGUGGGUGAUGAAUUUUUGGGGAUAGAAAGUGAUCAUCAUGGCUCAUCUUCAUCUUCAUCGGUUAUUAUUGCCUUCCCCAAAUUGAAAUCACUCUCAAUUGAGUUUCUGCGCGAAUUGGAGGAGUGGGAUUAUGGGAUUACAAGAACGGGAAACACCGUCAUCAACAUCAUGCCACGUCUUUCUUCAUUGACAAUUGUUGAUUGCACCAAAUUAAAGGCACUGCCCAACCACAUUCAUCAAACGACAACGUUGAAGGAAUUGUGCAUUGUGGAUUGUGAGCUUCUGGAAGAACGUUACCGCAAGGGGGAAGGAGAAGACUGGCCUAAGAUAUCACACAUUCCCAACAUAGAUAUUUUUUAAGAAGGAUUUGCGCAUUCGAGAUUUGGCGUUGACAAGUAAUUUCUUCUCUUACUCUGAUUUGCUUUGUUGUUGUUUUUAAUCUAAUUAAGAAGCGUAAAUAGCAUUUUGAAUCAAACUCUAUAUCCGAAAUCUGCAAUACAUACUUUCUAAUAUUCUGAUUUUCAUAUCCUACCAUUUUUAAUUUGUGAGAUGGGUAACGUUACUGUAAAAGAUUAUUAAUGGAACAUGAGUAAUUCUUUUGCAGGACAAGUGACCUACAUUUAGUUUGGCUUUGGAGUUGAAUAAUAACCUUUCAAGGCCAGGACCCAAAAGCAGGAAAAACAAAAAAAGGAACGAAGCUUAAUUUUGCCACAGAUUACAUGUAUUGCCAUUAUUGACAAGUUUCUGGACAAGUGAUCAAGGGUGAGAGUGGUGCUACAACAUUGAAUAAAGCAGUCGUGACUGAAUUUAGGUUGUGUCAAAAGUGGUAAAUUAUUUGCAUGUGUAGCUAAUUUGACCAUUUCCUGAUCUAUAAGUCUAUAUUAAUUUUGAUUUUUAGUUGAGUGAUUACAUUUCAAGGUUUGCUUACUUAACAGGGCGACCAAUUUCUUUUAACUAAAUGUAUUAUAUGAUGCAGGAAGCAAGGCAGGAUAUGAAAUAAGAAGCUUAUUAAUGGCAGUUGGCAGUGAAUGGAGGCCCUUGACUAAAUUCUCAAGCGGUUGCACUGCAAUUACGCUUAUCCGUAGCCUCAGGUAAUUUCUUCUUCUGCAUUUUUGUAAUUUGUUAUCUAAUUAAGGGGCGUGAGCUAUUUUGAAUCAAAUUCUAUAUCAGGAAUAUAUGCAACAUUUUUUAAAAUUUUGAUAUGAGAGUAAUGAUGGUAAUUUCUCUUUUUUGUCUGUCAUCGAAUGUUAAAUAACAUUCACUAAGACUCUUGAGAGUCAUUUUUUGACAAUUGCAGGACAAGCGACGAAGAGUGAGAAUGGUGUUAGAUUGGGGAUUGAGGCAAAAGGAGGUAAAUUAUUGGCAGAGAAUUUGGGAGCUUGAGUGUACAGGGAUUUGCAAUUACAAUCUUACUCUGCCUUAGGUGAUUUCUUCUCCUGCUUUGUCAUUGGUUGUUCUCUAGUUGAAAAGCAUAAAGUAUUUCAAUCAAAUUCUAUACCAAGAAUAUGCAAAACUUUAUUUCCAUCUGUUUGCAUUGAUAACUUUGCGGCAUAUGCGCUAGUUAAAGAACAAACAGAAACAGAGGUCAGGAACAAGUUUCCUCUGCCGUCAUAUUUGAAAAUGCAACCAUUUCCGGGAAGUAGUUGGCAGCAAAUUCAUAUAAAGUGUAGACAAUAAUGAGCAAAAAGGUGAUUCACAAUUUUAUUUUUUUUAAAUUAAUUGUUAGGUUGGAGUUGUUAAAAGGCCAUUGAGCUAACCUAUGUCAUUAGUUACCUAGAUUGCAGGGGGUCCCGAGACUCCAAAGAAGCAUUGAAUUUUAAAAGGCAUGCAAUAAUUCUUGUGGGCGUAUGAGUUUGAUUUAGAAUCAAACUCUAGAUCAGAAAUCUGCAAUGCAUAUUUUCUAAUAUUCUGAUUUUCAUAUCCUACUAUUUUUAAUUUGUGAGAUGGGUAACGUUACUGUAAAAGAUUAUUAAUGUAAUAUGAGUAAUUCUUUUGCAGGACAAGUGACCUACAUUUAGUUUGGCUUUGGAGUUGAAUAAUAACCUUUCGAGGUCAGGACAACAAAAAAAUGAAUCUUAAUUUGCCACAGAUUGCACUUAUUGCCAUUAUUGACAAAUUUCUUCACAAGGGAUCAAGGGCGAGGAUGUUGAUAGAAUAUUGAAUAAAGCUGCCGUGACUGAACUUACGUUGAUGUCAAAAGAGGUAAAUUAUUGGCAUGCCUGACUAUUUUGACCAUUACAUGAACAUGAGUUUACAUUAAUUUUGAUUUUGAGUUGAGUGACUUUUUAAGGUUUGCUUACUUAACCGGGUGAUGUGAUGCAGGAAGCAGGGCAGGAUAUGAAAUGAGAAGCGUAUUAGUGGAAGUAUUGCCAGUAACAGAACCCAAAAAAAAGUGGAACCAUUUUAAGGCAGCAGUUGGCAGUUGGGAGUGAAUGGAGGCCCUUGACAAAAUUCUCAAGCAGUUGCAAUGCAAUUACGAUCAUCCUCAGCCUCAGGUAAUUUCUUCUCCUGCUUUGUUGUUAUUUGUUACCUAAUUAAGAAGCAUAAAGUAUCUUGAAUCAUUUUCUGUAUCUGGAAUAUAUGCAACAGUCUCUAAAAUUUUGAUGACUGUAAUGAUUGUAGUUUCUGCUUUCUGUCCGACAUCGAAUGUAAGACGACUUUAUUAAGACUCUUGAACCGAGACAUUUUUGACAAUUGAAGGGCAAGUGCUGAAGAGUGGGAAUGGUGCUAGAUUGGGGAAUAAAGCAAAAGGAGGUAAAUUAUUGGUAGUUUCUGCAGCCUUGUUUUCUUUGAAUCAGCACCUGAUUCACAAGACUCCAUUAAUUUGGCUUUUGAUGAGCUGAGUGAUAAAUUUUCAAUUUCUUUGGUGCUAAAUGUAUGUGUGAAGCAGGUAGCAGGGCAUGACUGUGGAAAAGAGAAGAUUUUAGUGAAAGCUGAAACUCAGAUAAUUCUACAUUUAUCUAAUUCACGAAAUUUUAUUUCCAUCUGUUACAAGAUCAAACUGAAGCAGAACUCAAAGAAAGUAAUCUACUUCUUGCGGCAAUCUUGCCUUCGCUCAGAUUAUGAAACCAUUUCCAUGCACCAAAUUCAUCCAAAAGUUUGAAUAAGUUUCAUGGUUGGACACUGUUGGCUUCUUUUUCUUUUGGGGUGCAUUUUGGUGCUACCAAGUGACAGCUGCAAGUAUGAUUGCACUAACCUGCUGCUGGGAAAUUUGAGGUUUUGAUGGCUGCCCAUGUUAUUGUCAAGAAACUCCUCAUGUAAGAAGCUGUGGUUCUUUUCAUCAGCUUGAACCUGAAACUGUUGCUAUGGAUAACUCACGUUUUUAUUCUCAACUAUAUCAUCUUUUUUAGUGUUUUGAAACUCUUAAGAUUAAACUUUGGUAAAAUGUUUUCAGUUAUCCAUGUAAUCAGGCUGAGGAUAAUUUAGUAAAGUUGUUUCCGCUAUUCAAAUGAAAAACCCCAUUGAUUUUAACCAUGAUAAAGCUAAUGUUCCCAAUGAUUACUGCAGGUGAGACUUGUGAAGAGGGUGAGUGAGGCAACUGCUAAAAUUCCUGGCUGGGAUACAGUAACUAGAGGCUGAGAUCAGGUGGUGGAAUUUUUUGUUCCGUGGAUGAUACCAGAAUUGUCCAGAAAAGAUUUGUUGAUACUAAUUACAGAUGAUAGAAAGAGGUAUAGGUGGAGAAGAGAAAUCUGCGAGUCAAAUUAGGGAUAAUUGAUUCUGAUACUAGUUAUAUUGAAAAUAAUAAUAACAAUUGCAUGAAGAUAGUCAAUAUUCUUCUCUAGAUAUAUUGUAUGGACUUCCUUGCUGCCUUUAUCUAUGUGCAUGUUGACUAAAGCUAAUCUAGAAUCAAUAGAGAGGGAUAUUUAUCUAUUUUGUUUAACAUAAGAGUGCUGUAUAAUUUUUCACUAAAUACACCUACAACAAACUAUUAAUAAUAAAGUGAUAGAAGAAUGCCUAAAAUAUAGGUAUUAAUGUCAUAAUAAGCCCAUGUGGAUCUCAGUGCCGCAAGUUCGAUAAAUGGCUAUCAAGGAUUGCUUAUUAAGUCAAAAUAUUCAAAGGACAAAAUGGUAAAACUAUAAGGGUGGAGUAAUAUGGCUAUCUUGGGUUACAUAGUAAGUCAACUACAUUCAAAGUAUAAAAUAUUAGAACCUGAACGGCGGAGUAGUCGUCGUUAGAACCUGAACGGCGGAGUAAUCGUCGUUAGAAUCUGAAUGAUAUGUCUAAGACGUUGCAUGCAUCUAGAAAAUUGCAGAUGAUUAGACCUUGCCAUCUAUGCGUUGUAUGAGGUUAUAGCAACUAUCUAUCUGGUCACCGUUUUCAAGUCUCAAUUGGUAGUCCAAACUCCAAAGAAAAGAAUGAUUCUACAAUAGCAUUAAGUGUUAAUUGGACACAAAAAGAAAUGUUUUAACCACUUUAAGGAAAGUAAAUGUAAUUUUGUGUCCUAAAGAAAAGGUAAAUGUAUGCACUGUCAAUUAAUCUUUGGUCGACCAGCAACAUCAUAAUUUUGUGUAGGUUCAUUUUUGUUUCUUAGAGUUUGUAAAAAGAAUGGGAAGAUUUUAAAAUAUAAAUUUCAUAUCUGUUUAUUACUGUUGUUUGGUCUAAUUUCUUAUGUAGAAUUUUCAGAAUCUGUAGGACAUUAGUUUAUAAUUUUGAGAUUUUGCAGCCAUAAAUGUUUUUUUUUUCUUUUUUCUUUCUUUUUUUUUUUGUUGGCAUUUUAUUUUGCUCCUUUAUCUAUGUGCAUGUUGACUGGCUGCAGUGAGUGAAAAUUUACCCAUAUAUGCUGGCUAUUCUUGGACAAUAUUAGAGAAAAUAAUCAUAUUAUUUCGCUUGAUGUGAACUUCCAUAACUUAUCAAUUGAAUUGCUGUAAAAUAUUAAAUAGUUUUAUUUUUCUUUUAUCGUGUAACUUGGACCAAAAAAGGAAAUGAGUUUAACACGACCCUCAUUCUGCUUCUUGCUUUGGUUUCAAACAAGUCUUUCUCCUUUAUGACAUUUAUUGUAAUUUCAUUUGGAGACAUAUAUCUGUCGUUCAAAUAUAUUUCAUACGUAAGCUGUUAAUAAUUCUGCUUGCAGAAAGCCUACAAAGCAGCUGUGUGAUGUAAUAGAAGACCAUAGUCUCGUCAAUUUUUCAACAUUAGAUAUUCAGGUCAUCAGCUUCUCAUGAAUUCUUUCCUGAGUUUCUUUGAAUUAUUUGUGAUGUAAUAACUUGUGCAUUUGAGAAACUGUUCUCAUGAAUUCUUUCCUGAGUUUCUUUGAAUUAUUUGUGAAUAAGUUCCUAAUCGGCUGCUUCUCCUCAGGAUAAGGAAAGUGUUGCAAACUGGUGAAGCAGCUGAUAGAUAAAAGCAAUGGGUACAUCUUUGCUGGCAUGGAUCGAUGCCAGUGCGGUUGAAUUCAGCAAGACUGCCGUUCGUGAUGUUGUUGAUUGGGAUUACAUUAAGGAUGAUGACAACAUUGAUUAAAAUGGGACGUGAAGAUAUAUGGUGUGCAAAUUAACCCAACCCAACCAAACCCGUACAUUUUAUCAACCCAACCCAACCCAACCCGUAAAAAAUCACACGGAUUAGGUUGGUUUCACGGAUUGGGCGGGUUAAUUCUAAUUUCUUUAUAAGUUUACCAAAAUUAGAUCUGCUUACCUUUGUUCAUUCAGCAACAACACUUACAAUUCACAGCUAGAGAAUCUAUCCAUUGACAAUUGUGGAUUAAAAUUAUAACACCUGAAUUCAAACAUAUCCUUAUGAAGUUAUGAAUUUGUUCAUACUUCAAAUGAUUUUUUUUUUCCAAGCUAAUAAAGCAACGACUUUGAUCAAACGACGACGUUGAAGGAAUUACGUAUUUUCAAUGUCCUUUGCCAGACAGACGCUGGAGAGAGGGAAAGGAGAAGACUGGCCUAAUUAAGAUAUCUCACAAAGAUUAUUAUUGAGUUAAAAUGUUAUUGUAAAAGAUGUUUAAUACAAUAAUAGUACUUCUUUUGCAUUGUUAUAAUGAGGCUGGCGGGUUUCCUCAGAGGAUGGAUCUGGCUCGCUAGUAUGCAUUUGGGAAGCUGCUAAUUAUCGGCCAUAAAAAGUCAGGGGGUUGUGGCUCGUCCGUCGCCCAGAAAUUCCUAAACUCAUAUAUCAAACUUCAGAUGAACUUGGGCAUUAUGUAAAUAUGUAUUUUUGAGAAUUAAACUAGUGCGUUAGAAAAAUUUUGAGCCAUUGUAAUCAUUUUAUUUUGCUAAGAGAAAAUUUUACUCUGUGUUUCGCUUUGCCUUUUGUUUUUUCUGUGAUAAUAUGAUUCAUACGAAUGUGAUUACACACUAUCAUGCAUCUAUUUUCAUUUGCUUGUCAUGAAUGAUCAACAUGCUCGAAAUAUUUAUUUAGGUUGGAAAUAUUUAAAUCUAUUAAAAUACUAUACACACCCAUUUAAAAAUAAAAAUAUGAUUAUCAUAAUGAUCGCGAAGAUAACACGAUAUCAUACAUAAAAUAAAAUAUUUCGCAAAAAAGAAAAGAUACACUUGAAUACAUUGGUAUAAAAAAUAUUUUAGUGGAUUCAAGUAGCACUAAUGCCCCCUUAUCAAAAAAUAUAUAAAGAUAACUAAUCUGAUUGGGUAUACCGUGUGUGUGUGUAAUAUUUUUUGAUAUUAUUAUAUAAUAUUUUUUAAAAAGAAGAGAGUGGGCAAAGUCCAAAUCAAUUUUCUAAUCCCUAUCUCCUUUAGGAUUUCUAGUCAAAGAGGCUAAAUUGCACGAAAUUGUGCUAGCUUAUUUGAUUUUAAAAUUUUCCAAUGCACUGUAACACACUCUCAUGCUUGUACAUAGCUCGAAAAUCUCUAGAAUUUACCAGAGUAGUGUACCAUGUAGCUUGUACAUAGGUUUUUCUGGAACACUCCAAGCGUUACUAAGCAUAAGAGCUUUGAGAACUCUCUAGACAUAAAACAUUCAAGGGUAGGCCUACCCUAAAAAUAGGGCAUGAUGAUUGCCAUUUGAGCAUACAAGAAGUAAGAACAAAUCAAGUAUAUUUGUAAGCUCCCAAACUCUCUCGUACACACUCUUGUGAAUAAUAUGCUUUCUCUUUGACUACAUUACUCUCUCUUCUCUCUAGUUUUUUUCGUAAGUAUCAUAGCUUAGCUAGUCGAAAAGUUCAAGUAGGAAUGAUAAUUUUUCCUGACAGGAUGUGGGAUCCCAUCUCAUUUGGGACGGGAUUGGGACACAUUUUUAUCCCACAAAAAAAUAUAGGGACGGGAGUAGAAAUUUUUUUAUCCCACUUGUAUAUAUGGGACAGGACUGAGAUUAACAAAUUCAGUCUCGUCCCGUCCCGUCUCAUUACCAACUAGGGAUGGAAAUUUUUCCAAUUGGGAUGGGCUCUCGCAGAAUCCCAUUUAUUUUGGGAUGCAAUUGAGACAUAUUUUUAUCCCAAAAAAAUAUAUCGAGAGUGAGACUUUUUUUUAUCCCACUUGCAUAUUCGGGACGAGACUGAGAUUAGUAAAUCUCACCCUAUCCCAUCCCAUUGCCAACCCUAAGUUCAAGGCUUACUUUGCAAUUAUCUCAUAAAAGUUGUUUUAAGUACCACAGGAGUUUGUUGUGCAAAAUACUCAUCCCGUGACAUUAGCUAAAUAAAAUUAUUUGAAAGCCACUUACCCAAACUAUUAAACAAAUAUUAUUCUUUUAAUAUGUAAUCUUUUAAUAUAAAACUUUUGUCUUAAUUUUCUAUCUCCUACAAUAAAUUUUAUGAUUUUAAAAAUUGAAAAAAUUAGUAACUUUUAGAUAGAGCAUUCCUUACUGUGAAAAGAAAUAUGAAUGGUAAUAUAAAACUUACUUAUUAUAGUAUAAUGCUUUUAGUUUUUUGAAAUAUAGGUUCUUAUUUUUUUCAAGAUAAAGUUCAAAGAAAACAAGUUAAAUGUUGUGGAAAAUCUUACGCACAUACAAUAAAUUAUGACAGCUAAAUGCAAACCUGGCUGAAGUAUUAGUUGUUUUAUUACAGAGACAAAAGGACAAUAUCACUAUCCAAGUCAAAAGCAACUCAAUGUGAGUCUUAGGGCACUCGCAGUGAAUCCCAAGAUAAACUAAUUUCACUAGCAAGUUGGAUACCAAAGAGUAAGGCUUCAGCCUCAAUUAUAUUAACAUUAGCUGAGUAAACAUUAAAUACCACAAUCAAUCUCAGAAAUCAUAAUUAAACUAUCAUGAUUAAAAAUAAAGUUUUUUUUUUAGAUAUCCGUUUGUAGUAUCUCUUUAGAUGACAAGUAGGAGAUAAAGUAAAUAAAUAUUGGUUGCGUAAAUAAAAAUAAAUAAAUUUUUUAACUGAAAAAAAAAUUCCUAAAAACUAAAUAGUUCAAACUUUUUUUAACAUGAAAUAAAUAUUUGAUGCGUAAAUAAAAAAAAUUUAACUGAAAAAAAUUCCCAAGAACUAAAUAGAUCAAACUUUUUGUUUAACAUCAUGGGUUUUGUAUAUUCAAUUGAACCGAACAACUAAAUUAAAUCGAAAUUACCAUGUUCGGUUCAAAUGAAUAGACGAAAACCGAACAGUUUAUAUUUUUAUGAACUGAUGGUGCGUUUACUUCAUGAAAUGAAAAUAUGGUGGAAUGAGAAUGUGUUAAAAUGAAAAUGAGGAAUGAGAAUGAGAUUCUAAUGUUUAUUUAGUAAAAAUAAAGGGAAAUGAGAAUGUGCUGGAAUGUCAUUGAUGUGUUUAUUUGACAAAAUAAAUGACAAAAGUAUCAAUUCGGAUCCUGCUAAUGAUAGUUUGCCAUAUCCUUUGUCAUUGAACUUUCUUACAAAUGCUGUGGUUUGUUGUAGUAUAAUUAGUUCAAUCAGAAACUUCCUUGAUGUUAAUAUAGAUAUGAGUGUGCUGUGAAUAUUGAGGACUUCAUUAGACUAAGUGAUGUGAUGAUGGAGCAUUCACUUGGUCCCAAUGGAGGUUAGUCAGCCCAUUGUUGUUUACUCUUUCUUGCUUUAUCACGCAAUGAUAUUCCUUUGCUUCACAACAAAUUUCAUGAAAUUAACUUCAAUCGAGUGGCUAUGUUCAUACGCUAUUGAGAUUUUAUGGACAAUGAUUUGGUAGACUUUAUAUGCCGUCUUCUUUCUUUUUGCAGUGAUAUGUUUGUAUGCAAUGCACUUGUACUUGUUCUAUGGUUUCUAAAGUAGGCGUUUUUAUGAUAAACUAGGUCUUGGGUAUUGUAUGGACUAUCUAGAGAAGAAUAUUGACUGGUUGCAGUCGAAAUUGGAACCACUUUUGAAAGGUAAGAAGUGGCCAUUUUCCUUCAUUCUAAUGCCAAUAAUGCUGUCAUGAGACUCAUAAAAAUUGUUAAAACGUUAAUGUUUUUGGUAUUUUGCAGAUCAUUAUCUUCUGUUUGAUUUUCCUGGCCAAGUUGAAUUAUUUUUUCUUCAUUCCAAUGCCAAGAAUGUUAUAAUGAGACUCAUAAAGAAGUUAAAUCUCAGGGUAUUGUUACAUCUUACGUCUAUGAAGGGACUCAAAGAGUUGAGAUGAAUUCAUCAUUAUUAUUUUGAUGCCAGAAUUGUGCAAUUCUCAGUUGCUUCCUUUCACAUGCAGUUGACUGCAGUGCAUCUAGUUGAUGCGCAUCUUUGCAGUGACCCCGGGAAGUAUGUUAGUGCUUUGCUUCUCUCGUUGUCGACGAUGCUACAUCUGGAAUUUCCCCCAUGUCAAUGUCUUGUCUAAGAUCGGCCUGAUUGAGAAUUAUGGAAAGCUAGGUGUGGUUUUAAGUGUAGCUCUCCUACUUGUUUGUUUAGAUUGAGAUAUCAGAUAUUGUCACAAGCUCCUAUCUGCUACAUUUCCUCACCAAUCAAUUACUUUGGGUAUGUUGCAGCUUUUAAUCUCGAGUACUAUACGGAUGUGCAAGAUUUGUCAUUUUUACAGCAUGCUCUGGGUCAGGACCCUCGUUCUGCUAAGUAUAGGUUUGAAUUCUAGCUGAAUCAAUGAUGCAAAUUAUGUCCAUUGCUAUUUCUGACUGUCGUUUCUAUCAUUUUCAAUUGUUACCUCCCCUUGCCAUCUACUGCCAUACUGCAAUGCCCACACAAAUGUUAUGAAAUUUGUCAAUGGAAAUGACAUUCUAUUUGUCCAGAGACAGCUCUUAGAUGCAAGUGAACAAUUUUUGGCUUUGGCCGUAGUACAGCCUUAGAUUUCAACUUGCCAUAUCUUGUCUCGGAAGUCAAAAGAAAGCAUAUAUGUUAGCCAAAUUUUAUUUGAAUUUCUUGUGUAACAAUGAAUGGGGAAAAAAAACAGUUCCUCUUUUGUUUUGAUCAGACUCAAUGAAUAAGUGGUUAAAAUGUGCCUGUACUAGAAAUAUAGAUGUGUGGUUUCAUAAAAUUUUCUUGAUCUUAAGAAAGAGUUAUCUUGAAAAGAAGAUAACAUGGGGAAUUGAACAACUAUACAGUCAUAUUGAUGUCUGUCAACUUGGGUCAUAUGGUGUCGUUUGGAUGGAGAUGUUAGGUCCCAGAUGGUAAACUUGUUAUCGAAUUCCAGUCUACUUCAUUCAUGCUUUGAUGACAUAUGUGGUGCAGCUUCUUAUCUAAGACCUGCAUAUGUUACAGUCAACAUUCUGUUCUGUAUUUGGCUGCCAUUCUUUUCAAUGAAUUCAAACCACUUUCUGAAUACUUGGAAAUUCAUCCAGUGUUGUCAUUGAGAUGCCAAUAUGAAAAGAAGCCAUAAUUGCCCUUGAUAGUAUGCUUAUUGAUUGCCUCUUGCCUCACUCAACCUCAGGAAUCUGCUUGUAUGGUGUUCUUCUAAUUUCAAUUGGAGAUAAAUAAUAUCUGUUGUUCAAAUAUAUUUUAUUUACAAGCUGUUAAUAAAUCUGCUUGCAGAAAGCUUACAAAGGAGCUGUGUGAUGUAAUAGAAGUCUACAGUCUGGUCAAUUUUUCAACCUUAGAUAUUCAGGUCACCAGUUUCUCUUGAAUUCUUUCUUGAGUUUCUUUGAAUUAUUUGUGAAUAAGAUCUUAGUUGACUGCUUCUCUUCAGGAUAAGGAAAGUGUGGCAAAACUUGUGAAGCUGAUAGGUAAAAGCAAUGGGUACAUCUUUGCUGGCAUGGAUGCCAGUGCAGUUGAAUUCAGCAAGAUUGCCGUUCGCGAUGUUGAUUGGGAUUAUUUCGGAUAUCCUUCUUUUCACCUAUUUUCAAUCUUGUUAUUCUCAUAUUCAUAAAACUUUUUGGUUAUUUAAUUAUGGUUCAUCAUAUGCAUCUGCAUCUUCUAACUUGUUCGUUUGAGAAACUAAUUUUGCCGUUAGGUAGGCUUCGAGCUUGAUGAGUUGAUUCAUGCUUUUUCAUAAAUGUACCAAAAUCAUGGAAACUUCUUUUUCCCAGAUAUUGUAUCCACACUUUUCCCAUAUAAUUGGGUCAGACAAGUUUUGCUUAACAAAGAUAUCUACAGUAGCCGAAGUGCAGGAGAAGUACAUUAAGGAUGAUGACGAUGUUAACUAAAAUGAGACGUGAAGAUAUGUGGUGUGCAAACCGUAAGCCUGCCUCUUAAUUUUGUGCAUGUUUACUUGCUUGUGAUUCACGUUUGUUAAUCUAUUUUGCUCUCUUGCAGGAGUUAUAAAGUUUUCAAUCAAUCAAACAUUUAACUCAAGUCCUUAGCUCUUCACGGCUUGAAUGGGUCAGAUAGGACAAGCGCCGAAGAGGUGGUUUUAAUCAAACCCCUCCUAAUUAUGAUGUAUGGUCCGAAUCUCGGACUUUUUGUACAAUAUCAAGCGAUUUUUUUUUGGUUGAAUCGGCUAGUGUACGCAAAUGUCGAUUAUUGAUUUUUCUCCAGUAUUGUUUGUAAUUACAAGAAACGAAGUAAUGAAAUUUAUCACUGCGUUCAUAGUUAUGCUUAAGCUCAAAGAUUACCGUCAAGAUCAUUUUGGGCCCUCAAAGAAACAUGAUGUUGACACAUGUAAAAUUAUGAAGCUUGUGAUUAAAAUACUUUUCACAUAUAUAUGUUAAGUUCUAUUAAUAAUUAAAUAUAUGAAUAAAUAUGGUCAAUGAGGAGAGGAUAAAAUAAAAUGGUUUCAUUUUUUGAAUUACCCAUCCGCUUCAAACUUCUAAGAAGUAGAUAUACAAUCAGUGGAAUACUGAAUUGAGUACGAGCUGCGGAUAACUUAUAAAAUUGGGAUACAAGCUUCAAGGAAAGUGUAUUGCUAUUCAAAUGUAGAUUUCAAAUUAAGAAGAUAUGCCAACAAAUUAUUCUAAAUGAUGAAAUGAGCUAUCUUGAUCAAAAGGUCAAGAACCUACCUUACUUCUCUUAGAGAUAACUUGCAUCAACCGUUGUGGUAUUGAUACUUGUCUUCAGCUAGUAAAAGUGAAAGUUUCACAAUUGAAAUAAAGCUAAGGGAAGAUGCUAUGCUCCAUUUAUUAUUAUUAUUAUUAUUGACGUGGUCGAGAAGUAAAGCCGUGCAUAUGAUGAAGUAUAAAUAAGAAUGCAAUAGCCCGGAAUUCAUUUACACAAACACUUCAAUAUCCUUUCGAUCACUUUUGCAAACAUCAAUUUGUCUCCUCUUGUAUUCACCAUGGUUGAUGCCAUCGUUUCCCCUCUCGUGGAGCAGCUGACUUCCUUCGCUGCUAAAGAGAUAAUACAACAGGUGAUCGAAGUUACACCCCCCAUAGUAUAAAUACUUCUAAUGAUUUUAAUUGGUUUUGUUUUUAUCGAAAACAUUAACUUUGCUUUAUUUUACGCAUUUAGGCAUUUUAAAUUUUGAAAUUUGAAUUGAAUUUAAUUAAAAUGUGAUUUAGUUAGUAACCACUUUUUUUUUUCAUUUAUAUUCUCAAUAACUACCCAUAUUUUGGUAACUUACUGUAACCCCCGUAUCUAAGAAAUUAUCAAAACCCACAAUUUUAACUCCACAUAAAUAUUCCAUGUUGAGCUAAGUUCGAUGUUGAGGUAAGUUUUUUGCAUAACAUUCAAAUUUGUCAAAUAGUCAUUAAUUUAAUGUUUAGUAAAAACUCAUCUCUGAAAAAUUUCAUAAUUUUCUUACAUUAUUUGAGUCUGGUAAGUGACUUCAUAUAAUUUCUUUUCAAUUUAAAUUUUAAUUUGGUUUCUGAUAUAGUCUCUUUACUGAAUUUAUAUCUUUUAUGAUUCUUGGAUUUUGGGCUCCAACUUUUUAGGAUUUGAUAGUCACAUUUUAUGGCAUGCUUAGAUUGAUGUUCAUGAUUUUUAGUACUCGUUAAGUGACUGAGAAUUUGACAAAAGUUUGAAAGGAAAUCCGUUUCACGAUUCUUAUGUGGAAGGUUCGUAAAAUCAUGAAAUUUGGAUAGGAUUCAUUAGCAAUAUGUACAAGACUGUCCAUAAAGUUUCAUAAUUUUUCAUUCGGUCGGGGGUGGUACAGGUGAAACUUGUGGUUGGUGUUGAAGAAGAAGUGAAAAGCCUUACCAGCCACCUUCAAGCCAUUCAAGCUGUGCUCAAUGAUGCAGAGGAAAAGCAAGUGAAGGACAAAGCUGUUAGACAUUGGCUGGGUAGGCUCAAGUAUGCAUCCUACGACAUUGAAGAUGUGUUGGAUGAGUGGAUCACAGCUAGACACAAAUUGCAAAUUGAGGGUGGCGUUGAUGACAAUGCUCUUGCUGCUCCUCAAAAGAAAAAGAAGGUAUGUUUCUGCUUUCCUGCCUCUUGUUUUGGAUUCAAACAAGAAGAAUUUGGUUUCAGACAAGUCUUUCUACGUUAUGACAUUGCCAACAAGAUCAAAGAAAUGAAUGAAGAGCUACAUGCUAUUGCUACUCAAAAAGACAUGUUUAAUCUUGUUAAGAGUGGCAAUAAAAGUGGUGAAAGACCAAGGCGUGUACAGAGUACCUCCUUGAUUGAUGAGGAAGAGAUUUGUGGUAGAGUUGGUGAGAAGAAUGAACUCAUAAGCAAGCUGUUGCGUGAGAGUAGCGAGCAACAAAAAGGCCUCCAUAUCAUCUCAAUUGUUGGUAUGGGAGGCAUAGGGAAAACUACUCUUGCACAACAAGCUUGUAAUGAUGACGAGGUGAAGAGAAAGUUUGACAAAAUUAUGUGGGUGUGUGUAUCAGAAACUUUUGAGGAGUUUAGGGUUGCCAAAGCAAUGGUUGAAGCUUUGGAUGGUCGUGAAUCUCAUUUAGGUGAAUUCCAAUCUCUUCUUAAACAUAUUGAUGAAUCCAUUGCAGGGAGGAGCUUUCUUCUUGUCUUGGAUGACGUAUGGGAUGGAAAUUACGUGAGAUGGGAACCAUUCUAUCGUUGUCUAAAGAAUGGUCUCCAUGGAAGUAAAAUUAUAGUUACCACACGUAGUGGGUCCGUUGCAUCCAUGAUGGGAUCCAUAGAUAUUAUUCCCAUUAAGGAAUUAGCUGAAGAGGAAUGUUGGUUGUUGUUUAACAAGAUAGCAUUUUUUGGUAGGCCUAUCGAGGAACGUGAAAAAUUCGAACGAAUUGGGCGAAGAAUUGCAGGCAAGUGCAAAGGUUUACCUCUUGCUGCAAAGAUAUUAGGGAGUCUUAUGCGCUCUAAACAAACUGAAGAAGAGUGGAAAAUAAUUUUAACUAGUGAUUUAUGGAAAGUAGAAGAGAUUGAGAAAGAUGUUUUGUCCUCUUUAUUGUUGAGUUACAAUGAUUUGCCAUCUAGAGUAAAAAGAUGUUUUUCAUAUUGUGCUGUCUUUCCAAAAGACUACAAUAUAAAAAAAGACAAACUAAUUACAUUGUGGAUGGCUCAAGGUUAUCUUAGUGCAGAAGAAGAUGAGGAGAUGGAGACUAUAGGUGAAGAGUAUUUUAGCAUCUUAGCUUCUCGCUCUUUCUUUCAAGAGUUUGAGAAAAGUUAUGAUAAUCGUAUUAUAGAGUGCAAGAUGCAUGAUAUGGUACAUGAUUUUGCCCGAUUUGUAAGUCAAAAUGAAUGUUUUUCGAUGGAAAUUAAUGGUAGUGAGGAACCAAACACCAUAAACUCUCUUGAUGAGAAGGUUCGUCAUUUAAUGUUAAUCUUUAGUAAAGGGGCUUCAUUACCUGUUUCCACUCUUAGAGUUAAAAGAAUGCGUACCCUCUUAAUUAACGAUAGUAGAUCUGAUCAUUCAUUAUUAAAUGGUGAGAUCCUAGAAGAAUUAUUUAGGGAAUUGACAAGUUUAAGGGCAUUAGAUUUUGGCGGAUCGUACACACAUUUUUCUUUGACUCUGGAGAUUCCAAGAAACAUAGAAAAGCUGGUACAUUUAAGAUACCUUAAUUUGUCUUGUCAGAAAAUAGUGGAGCUACCGGAGACAUUGUGCGAGUUAUAUAAUCUACAAAAGUUAGAUAUUAGUGAUUGUUUUAAUCUUAAAGAAUUACCUGAAGGGAUUGGGAAGUUAAUAAACAUGAAGCAUUUACGAAAUAGAAGUACUAGUUCUUUAAGGUACAUGCCAGUAGGGAUUGGGAGAUUAACGGGUCUUAGGACCUUGGGUGAGUUCCACGUGAGUGCAGGAGGAGGUGUUGAUGGUGGGAAAGCAUGUAGGCUUGAAUCUCUUAAAAACUUGGAACACCUUCAAGUAUGUGGUAUACGUAGACUGGGUGAUGUAUCAGAUGUGGGCGAGGCUAAGCGAUUAGAACUUGACAAAAAGAAAUACCUCAUCAGUUUGACCCUUGAGUUUGAAAAGAAGGAGGAAGGAGGAGGAAGGAGGAAGAACGAGGACGAUCAACUUCUUCUUGAAGCCCUACAACCACUUCUCAAUUUAAAGGAAUUAGAGAUACAGUACUACCGAGGCAACACUGUUUUCCCCAGCUGGAUGACGUCAUUAACCAACUUAAAGAGUUUAGAUCUCUCUUUGUGCCUAAAUUGCGAGCAGCUGCCUCCUUUGGGAAAAUUGCCGUCCCUUGAAAAACUCAGCAUAAUGUUUAUGCCUGUGAAAAGAGUGGGUGAUGAAUUUUUGGGGAUAGAAAGUGGUCAUCGUGACUCAUCUUCAUCUUCAUCGGUUAUUAUUGCCUUCCCCAAAUUGAAAUCACUUUCAAUUGAGUCUCUGGACGAAUUGGAGGAGUGGGAUUAUGGGAUUACAAGAACGGGAAACACCGUCAUCAACAUCAUGCCACGUCUUUCUUCAUUGGAAAUUAAUUACUGCCCCAAAUUAAAGGCACUGCCCGACCACAUUCAUCAAACGACAACAUUGAAGGAAUUGCGCAUUUGGGGGUGUGACCUUCUGGAAGAACGUUACCGCAAGGGAGAAGGAGAAGACUGGCCUAAGAUAUCACACAUUCCCAACCUCCAUAUUGGGCUUUGACAAGUAAUUUCUUCUCUUACUCUGAUUUGCUUUGUUGUUGUUUUUAAUCUAAUUAAGAAGCGUAAAUAGCAUUUUGAAUCAAACUCUAUAUCAGAAAUCUGCAAUACUUACUUUCUAAUAUUCUGAUUUUCAUAUCCUAUGAAUAUACGAUUUUUAAUUUGUGAGAUGGGUAACGUUACUGUAAAAGAUUAUUAAUGCAAUAUGAGUAAUUCUUUUGCAGGACAAGUGACCUACAUUUAGUUUGGCUUUGGAGUUGAAUAAUAACCUUUCGGGAACUGGUGUGGACUGGCAAAGGAUGAUGAGAUAGUUUUUUGAGUGAGUAAAUUUUGGGAGCUUGAGUGUAUUGGGAUUUGCAAUUACAAUCAUCCUCUGCUUCAGGUGAUUUCUUCUCUUGCUCUGUCAUUGUUUGUUCUCUAAUUCAAAAGCAUAAAAUAUUUCAAUCAAUUCUUAUACCACGAAUAUGCAAAAGUUUCUAAUAUUUUAUUUCCAUCUGUUACAAGAUCAAACUGAAGCAGAACUCAAACAAAAGUAUGCUACUUCUUGCGGAAAUCUUGCCUUUGUUCAGAUUAUGAAACCAUUUCCAUGCAGCAAAUUCAUCCAAAAGUUUGAAUAAGUUUCAUGGUCGGACACUGUUGGCUUCUUUUUCUUCUGGGGUGCAUUUAGGUGCUAUCAAGUGACAGCUGUAAGUAUGAUUGCACUAAGCUGCUGCUGGGAAAUUUGAGGUUUUGAUGGCUGCCCAUGUUAUUUUCAAGAAACUAUUGAUGUAAGAAGCUGUGGUUCUUUUCAUCAGCUUGAACCUGAAACUGUCGCUAUGGAUAACUCAGGUUUUUGUUAUCAACUAUAUCAUCUUUUUCACUAUUUUGAAACUCUUAAGAUUAAACGUUAGUAAAGUUGUUUCAGCUAUUCAAAUGAAAAACUCAUUGAUUUGAGACUUCCUUCAUUAUUGUUUCUAAUUACAAUGCUAACGAUCCAGAUAAGAUAAUAUUUAAUCGGCGAAGGUGUCCCUUGGAAGUACAUCCUUCUUUUUCUUUUAUUAUAUAAAUUCUUGCAAUGAGCUUAGUGAAGCUGUUGUGCUAAUCAUGCCACUGCAUAAUUUGGCCCCUAAUGUGGGUACUCUGUUACAUUGUUCUGCAAAUUCUCCAGAAGUUAAAAUCAAUAAAUUUUCUAUUAGCUCUAGUGCUUUGACCUAAAUGCUAUUCUAUAUUCUGAUUACAAUGUUUUAACCUUUAAAUUAACUACCCCUAGAUGUUGGAUUUUCUAGAACUUCAAAUUAUAUAUAACCUUUAAAUUAUAUAUUUCUGUGUCUCUAUUUAUAGAUGACAUUUAAGCAUCCAUAAACCGUCAGACAGAGGAAGGGGGUUCAGUGCAAAGAUUCUGUUGACCUAGGGUUGACUGCAUAUGUCACUUGUUCGCAAUCUAAUAUUUAUUUUAUAUUUUGAAAAAUUUAAUGGGUAAUCCUAAUUGUUUGUUUUGGCAGGUAUGUGUUGUUAUCUCCUUCUAUCUUACAGUCGUACCUAAAUAGCAUAGUUUCAUCUGUGUUACCAUGUGAUGUACAUAAUUUCACAUUUGCCUCAGAUUAAGCUUAAUUUCCCACAGAAUAGAGCUGUCGCGACUGGACUUAGUUUGAUGUCCAAAGAGGUAAAUUAUUGGCAUGCCUAGAUAAUUUGGCCAUUUCCUAAUUCAUAAGUCUACAUUAAUUUUGAUUUUGAGUUGACUGAUUUCUUUUCAAGGUCUGCUUCCUUAACGGAGUGACCAAUGUUUUUCAACUAAAUUUAUCAUAUGAUGCAGGAAGCAGGGCAGGAUAUGAAAUGAGAAGCUCAUUGGUGGAAGUAUUGCCAGUAGCAGAACCCAAUGAAAAUGAAACUAUUUCAAGGCAGCAGUUGGCAGUUGCAAGUGAAUGGAGGCCCUUGACAAAAUUCUCAAGCAGUUGCAAUGCAAUUACGAUCAUCCUCAGCCUCAGGUAAUUUCUUCUCCUGCUUUGUUUUUAUUUGUUAUCUAAUUAGGAAGCAUAAAGUAUCUUGAAUCAUUUUCUGUAUCUGGAAUAUAUGCAAGAGUUUCUAAAAUUUUGAUAUGAGUGUAAUGAUGGUAAUUUCUGUUUUCUGUCUGUCAUCAAAUGUUAGAAAACUUUCAUUGAGACCCUUGAACCGAGUCAUUUUUGACAAGUGAAGUGCCGAAGAGUGAAGAGUAAGAAUGGUGCUAGAUUGGGGAAUAAAGCAAAAGGAGGUAAAUUAUUGGCAGCUUCUUCAGCCUUAUUUUCUUUGGACCAGUGCCUAAUUCACAAGUCUCCAUAAUUCGGCUUUUGACCAGUUGAUAGAUAAAAUUUUAAUUUCAUUGGUGCUAAUGUACCCGUGAAGCAGGCAGAGAAGGACUGUGGAAAAGAGAAGGUUUUUAGUGAAAGCUUAAACGCAGGUAAUUCUAUAAAUUAUAUGUUUUUGCUGAUUUAUCUAAAUCAGGAAAUUUUAUUUCCAUCUGUUACAAUAAAACAGAAACAGAACACAAAGAAAAAUAGUCUACCUCUUGUGGCAAUCUUGCCUUCAUUCAGACUAUGAAACCAUUUCCUUUCACCAAUUUCUUCCAAAAGUUUGAACACGUUUCAUGGUUGGACAUAGUUAGCUUCUUUUUCUUUUGGUGCAUUUAGGUGCUAUCAAGUGACAGCCAUAAGUAUGAUUGCAUUAUUGGGAAAUUUUAGGUUUUGAUGGCUCCCCAUGUUAUUGCCAAGAAAUUUUAAGUCCUCAUGUCAGAAGCUGCGUUUCUUUUCAUCAGCCUGAACCCGAACUGAGGUUUUUGUCAUCAACUAUAUCAUCUUUUUCACUGUUUUGAAACUCUUAAGAUUAAACUUCAGUAAAGUUGUUUCAGUUAUCCAUGUAAUCAGGCUAAGGAUAUUUAGCAGCUUAUUUAGGCAACUGCCAGAAUUCAGUUUGUUUGCUCGAAACUUGUAUGGUGACAAGGAUACUGGCAAGGAUAGUGAGAUAGAUUUUUGUGUGAGUGAAUUUUGAAAGCUUGGGUGUUCUGGGAUUUGCAAUUGCAAUCAUCCUCUGCUUUAGGUGAUUUCUUCUCCUGUUCUGUCUUUAUUUUCUCUCUAAUUGAAAGCAUAAAGUAUUUCAAUCAAAUUCUGUACCAGGAAUACGAAAAACUUACUAAUAUUUUAUUUCCAUCUGUUUGCAUUGAUAACUUGGCCGCAUAUGUACUAGUUAAAGAACAAACAGAAGCAGAGUUCAGGAAAAAGUUUCUUCGGCCACCAUAUUUGAAAAUGAAACCAUUUCCAGGAAGCAGUUGGCAGCAAAUUCAUACAAAGUACAGACAAUGAUGAGCAAAAAGGUGAUUCGCAAUUUCAUUUUUUAAAAAUGAAAUUAUUUGUUAAGUUGGAGCUGAUAUUGUUAGAAGGCCAUUGAGCUAACCUAUGACACUACUUGCCUAGAUUGCAGGAGGUCAAGACUCAAAAGAUGCACUGAAUUUUAAAAGGCAUGCAAUAAUUCUUAUGGCCAUUUGUCAAUGGUGGAAUGCUUUUAGCUUCUUUUCCUUUCGUGCAUUUUGGGGUUCUAUCAAGCGACAGCCGUAUGCAUGGAUGGAUAUAGCCGCUGCGUUGAUUUCUAAUGCGUUGUAUGAUGUUAUAGCAACUAUCCAUCUGGUCAAUGUUUCAAAAGAAUAAAACACAGGGAAAAAGAGAAAGCAAGUGGCCAAUCAAGUAUUCAUGUCCCAAAGAAAAGAAUGAUUCGACAAUAGCAUUAAGGGUUAAUUGGACACAAGAGAAGUGUUUUAACCACUUCAAGGAAUGUAAAUGUAAUUUUCUAUUCUGAAGAAAAAGUAAAUAUAUGCACUGUCAAUUAAUCUUUGGUCAACCAGCAACAUUCAUAAUUUCGUGUAAGUUUCAUUUCUGUUUGUUGGAAAUAGCAGUGUAUUUCUUAGAGUUUGUAAAAAAUGGAAAGAUUUUAAAAUAUAAAUUUCACAUCUGUUUAUUACUGUUGUUUGAUCUAUUUUCUUAUGUAGAAUUUUCGGAAUCUGUAGGACAUUAAUUUAUAAUUUUGAGAUUUUGUAGCCAUAAAUGUUUUUGUUCUUUUUUUCUUUUUUUUGUUGGCAUUUUAUUUUGCUCCUUUAUCUAUAUGCAUGUUGACUAAAGCUAAUCUAGAAUCAAUAGAGAGGGAUAUUUAUCUAUUUUGUUUAACAUAAGAGUGCUGUAUAAUUUUUCACUAAAUACACCUACAACAAACUAUUAAUAAUAAAGUGAUAGAAGAAUGCCUAAUUUUUCGUACUUUUUAAUUUCUUUCAGCCCUAAAAUAUAGGUAUUAAUGUCAUAAUAAGCCCAUGUGGAUCUCAGUGCCGCAAGUUCGAUAAAUGGCUAUCAAGGAUUACUUAUUAAGUCAAAAGUAUUCAAAGGACAAAAUGGUAAAACUAUAAGGGUGGAGUAAGAUGGCUACCUUGGGUUACAUAGUAAGUCGACUACAUUCAAAGGAUAAAAUAUUAGAACCUGAACGGCGGAGUAGUCGUCGUUAGAACCUGAACGGCGGAGUAAUCGUCGUUAGAAUCUGAAUGAUAUGUCUAAGACGUUGCAUGCAUCAAGAAAAUUGCAGAUGAUUAAACCUUGCCAUCCAUGCGUUGUAUGAGGUUAUAGCAACUAUCUAUCUGGUCACCGUUUUAAAAGAAUAAGACAAAGGGAAAAAGAGAAAGAAAAGAAUGAUUCGACAAUGGCAUUAAAGUUCAACGUACCCCAAGAUCUUGUAAUAAUGCCAUUAAUCAUUCUCUAGCUAGGCUAGCCUUAGAGAAAAGUGAAACUGUUGCACAGGUAGAAUCACACCCCUCAGAGAUAAUGUAUUUAUUCAGCUCUUCGAAUGAAUGAAGUUUAUUUUCUCGUCAAAAAAAAAAACUGCUCGCUCCGCUGGUUUCAUACAAUGUCAACUAGAAACAUCAUACUUUCGUGUAAGUUCAUUUCAGAAUAUUUCUUAGAGUUUGUAUAAAAUGAAAAGAUUUUAAAAUAUAAAUUUAAUAUUUGUUUAUUACCGUUGUUUGGUCUAAUUUCCUCGGGAGAAUUUUCAGAAUUUAUAGGACAUUAGUUUAUAAUUUUGAAAUUUUGUAACCUAAAUGAUUUUUUUUUCGGUUACCAUUUUGUUUUCCUGCUUUAUCUACGUGUAUGUUGACUAAAACUAAUCUAUUUUGUUAAACCUUUACCACUCUAGACAUUGCACUAAAUAUGAGUUCGUGAUGCUUGCAUUUUAUUGAUGCUGAUGAUUCGUUGAAUGUUUUAUGUUUUUGAUUUUUAAGUAUUCCGGAUCGAAGUUUGUGUCUACGCGGAAAUUGUAAAGGCAGCAUAUAAAGUACUCGUCGUUCUUUAGAUUUUAUUGAGUACACUUUUGUCACAUUUAGCGUAUGCUAUACACUACUGAUUUGCGCAUUGACAUAUAUCUUUUUUUUUUAUGAGAGGGGGCUCGUCAAAACGAGCUAAACAGGAACAAACCGGGGGUUAGAAAUCCCAAACAAGUCUUGCGAAAUGAUAGAAUAAACACCCAUAGGAGGGUUAGAGAACACAUGGAGGCCAAGAGGAGCUGAAUGAGCCAUAUUAGCCAUGAAAUCCGCAGCUGAGUUUGCUUCGCGAUAAAUAUGGGUGAUAGCAGUCUGCCAAUUUCUACUUAGUAAUUCCCGGACAGCUGAUAAUAAAGCAGUGAACGCAUUAGGAACAACCACCUGCUUAGAAAUCAUUUGUGUAAUACAAAUACUAUCCACUUCCACCAACAACCGUUUUAUGCCUACAUCCCAAGCAAGAAUUAGGCCCUGAUACAGCCCCCAAAGCUCAGCCAUAAGCACUGACCUGUCCCCAAUUUUCAUACAAAAGCCGGAUACCCAAUGACCAACUGAGUCUCGAAUAACACCUCCCGCUCCUGCUUCCCAAGUAUUUUUACAGGAGCCAUCUGUAUUUAAUUUACACCAUGGCCAAGGCGACGGCAGCCAAUGAAUAUAAAUCUCCUGUCUCCUCGGCUGCUGGCUUAGGCAAGAAUUAUUUACUCUGCAAAUUUCUUUAGCUCUCGCCAUAACAUCCAUAUAGAUUGUUAGACUAUCCACCAGCUUUCCCUCAAAGAAAAAAUGGUUCCUCCAGAACCAUAGCCUCCAAACUACCACACCAAAGAUACAAUCCCAGGGGAGGGGAGACCCAAUCUUCCAUUUAUUUUGCAGGUUCCCAGCAAUCCAUUCUCGUAAGUUCGAAUUGAAGAAAGUGUUAUGACUGGCCAUCGGAACAAGCUUCCGCCAAACCUGCUUGAUACAGCUGCAGUCUCUCAAUGCAUGGAGGAUAUCUUCAACCGCACCCCCACACCUAUCACAAUCCUCAGGAACAUUAAUAUGGCGCCUAACAAGUUCAUCACGAGUCUUGAGUUUCCCAUGCAUAAGCUGCCAAAGAAAAAGGCGGAUGGAUUGAGGCCCCUUCCAACUCCAUGGAAGCUUCCAAUUUCUGUCAUGAACAGCAGCUUGAUGAUAGCAAAGUGAUUCAUAAGCUGACCGAACCGAAAACAUGCCGCUUGGAUCAAAGCCCCAGUAAAUAAUAUCAGCCCCAAGAUGAGGAGCCGGAGGCAAGACUGAAGCAAUCUGCAUGAGAAUACCAUGCGGCAGAAGAUGCUCAAAGCUCGACCAAUUCCAUCCCCCAUGCCCAUUCGUAAAGUCACUCACAGUGGCAUUGAUAAGCUCGUGAGGAAUCGGCAAGAUGGCAAGGCUGAUCAGAGGAUAUUUCGUAGCCCAACAAUCAACCCAGAAUCGAGUUCUAACACCAUCACGAACUGACCAGCGAGCUCCCUGCACUGUUGCCAACCACGUGCUACGAAUAGCCCUCCAAAUCUGAGAACCCGGUUUGUCUGAAAGAGACAUUGGUAGGUUGCGAGACUCCAAACCAUAUUUGGAGCAGAAGACUUGCACCCACAGUUUAUCCGAAUUGGAAACAACCUCCCAGCUCAAUUUCAUCAACAUCGCCUGAUUCAUUUCGUCCAUUUUUUUGAAUCCCAGGCCUCCAUGUUUUUUCGGCUUGCAAAUUUUGUCCCACCCCACCAUACUCAUCUUGUGACUCUUUGAAUUCCCAUCCCAAAUAAAUCUUCGACAAGCUUUGUCUAUUUUAUGUCUCACUGGAGAAGGAAGUAAGGUCGUUUGCAUGGCAUAAACAGGCAUUGCUUGCAGGACUGAUUGAGCCAGAGUGACGCGUCCAGCAAAAGAUAGAUGAGCCGCGUUCCAACCAGUUAACCGCUUAUCCACUUUAUCAAGGAUGGAUUGAUACGUGUAUUUAUUAACCCGCGAAUGGAUUAAGGGCAUUCCAAGAUAAUCACCCAAAUUAUUUGUGGCCGAAACUCCCAAAGUCGAGCCUAUGAUAUUGGCAUCCCGAGAAGCGACAUUUUUUGAGAAGAAAACUUUAGUUUUCAUUUUGUUGACUUUUGCUUCCGAACUCCUACAAUAAUUAUCCAGAACAGCAUCUACGACAUAAGCUUGAUCAAUUGAAGCUUCCGCAAAUAAAAGCAAAUCAUCUGCAAAAAAGAGAUGCGUUAAAGGAGUUCCAUAUUUGGCCAACCGGAUAAGCCUCCAUCUCCUCUCCAUCACCGCUUGGGUUAUACCAUGGCUUAACCGUUCAAUGCACAGAACAAAAAGAUAAGGCGAGAGGGGAUCGCCCUGACGGAUACCCCUUCCCGGAGUGAAAGCUUAUGUCGCCUCGCCAUUCCACAAAAUACGCAUACUAGCUGAAGUUACGCAUUCCAUGAUUAGUCUAGAUAAGUGAAUUGGAAUACCAGUCUGGUUAAGCGUAUCAAAAAUGAAAUCCCAACUGAGCCGGUCAUAAGCCUUCUCAAGGUCGACCUUAAUGGCCAUAAAUCCUUUCCUGCCAGUUUUUCUGCGCAUAGAGUGAACUACUUCCUGAGCCACUACAAUAUUAUCUACUAUAUGCCUCCCAGGAACAAAGCUCGUCUGAUUGGGGCUUAUUAGAUUGGGCAGCAGUGUUUGCAAUCGAGUGGCUAUAAUUUUAGUCACCGUCUUGUAGGCCACUGUGUAUAGGCUUAUGGGCCUAAACAUCUUUAAGCUAGUGGGGUGCUCCUCUUUAGGAAUCAAAACCAAGAGGGUAGUAUUUAUCUCUUGCGGCACCUUCCCCGUUGUAAAAAUAUCAUGAAUAAACCUGCAAAACGACGGACCAACCACAUGCCAUUGGGAUUGAUAAAAUAUAGCGUGCAAACCAUCCGUACCUGGGGCUUUCAGCGGCUUCAUGCUAAACACAACGUUCCGAAUUUCCUCCCUCAAAAUUGGGGCUGCAGCCCCAUCUACGUCAUGAGAAUCCAAGGCUGGGAAAAAGUUUGGAGCAUGGUAAUUCCGAUAAGUUGCAUUAUCACUUGUAAAUAGGUCAGAAAAAUACCCCACUACAUGCCUCCUUAUAUCCUCCUCAUCAUAUAGCCAAUUCCCCGAACAGUCUCGGAUGGCCUCAAUUCUAUUCCGCCGCCUUCGAGCAAUGGUUUUUUGGUGGAAAAAAUUCGUAUUUCUGUCCCCAUGCAGAAGCCAAUCCUUUCGAGAUUUCUGAAGCCAAAGAAUUUCCUCCGAUUCAUCACCAUUUCGAGCUCAUUUUGCAUGCGGGCUUAUAAGCGCAACAAACUGUUAGAGCUAUAAUUCUCUAGAGUAGCUUGAAUUCCAUUAAUCCGAGCCAUAAGCCGGCGUUUUCUCUGAAAGAUAUUCCCAAACACAUCUCGAUUCCAAGCUUGAACCUCCUGGACAAAAUGAGAGGCUGCUGCACUAUAAUGGAUUUGCGGAUUCCACACCCGCUUAAUAAAGUUAUGAAAAUGCUCGUGAGUUAACCAAGCAGCCAAAAAGCGGAAAGGCCUGUUCCUCCUGUGACCGGCCACAGCUCUCUCAAACCGAACCAGCACCGGCCUGUGAUCCGAGGCAACCUUCGGGAGGUGGAGGACAGAAUUAUUCGGAUACUUAUGUAGCCAAUCACUAUUGCACAGAGCUCUAUCAAGCCGUUUAAAGAGCAAUCCACGUGACCAAGUAAACCUUGGACCUUUAAACUUUAAAUCAAAAAUUUGGUGCCCAUCAAACCAUUUCCGAAACAGAUUACACACUCCUGGGUUCCUGGCCUCACCCCCCUGCUUUUCAGAGGCAUAUAAGAUAGAAUUGAAAUCCCCACCUAUCAGCCAAGGGCCUCGAAUUGAAGGCGCAAGGUUCUCCAUAUGGCUCCACAACUGUCUCCUUAGCAUUGGAUUUGGGCUGGCAUACACAGCCGUUACCCAAGACACAAAGGUCUUAUUCAUACAAAAUUUAAAGUGAAUGAACUGCCUAUGAUUAAUUAAGACUUCCACCUCUAUGGAAUUUCGCCAAAGAAGCCAAAUUCCUCCAGAAAAACCCACAGCUUCCACCCGGUGCGAAUACUCAAAUCCACUUUUCUUUAUAAAGUCAUCGGCUUUAGCACCACUAGUGCGAGGUUCCAUUAACACCACCAUCGAUGGAUUGUAGUUUUUAAUAAUUGUUUUAAACGAGCGCCUAAAUACCCCCGAGGCUGCCCCUUGUACAUUCCAGAACAUGAUACUAGCUGACAUAAUAAAAAUAACAGGAGAGAAACAAACGUCUACUGCUGCUGUCCAAGGACUUCCUCCAUCCACGCCAAUGGCGUUUCUUGAACCAUCUCAACUUCAUUCUCAACCAUCCCAUCGCCAUCAACACCAUUUAUAGGUACAACUGGAUGGUUAUGAGCACUGUCACCUUCAUUCACCCGAUGGAUGGUUUGAUCAUCUGGAGGGUCUGCUACUUGUUGUGGAUCCGGACCUUGCCUCUCUAUGUGUUCCGCGGUCACGUCCCUUUCAUCACCAUUAGGAAGGGUUUGGGAGGAGCAAACAAACACUGUGUGUUUAGAGGGGUCCAGGGUGGUUGCGAAUGGUGCCACGAGUUGAUUGCUAGAAGCUUUCUGAGGGAAAAUAUGGGGUUCAAAGCUUCGGUUUGCAUGAGGUAGGAUGGAUAUUUCCUUCUCUCUGGUGCUGAAGACACUAGGCUGGAGAGGGUUACAGGUAGGAGUUACUGGGACGUUUGGUUUCCUGCUCUGAUUCCUUGCUGCCACGGCCUUAUUUUGCGGCUUACGACGAGCCAUAGUCUUUGCUGAGGUAUCUGCUCUGGCUGUGAAAGUAUGGUUUGAUGCGGGCAUGAAAGGUUGCCGUGAGGUGGAAGGGAAGUCUGGGCAAGCCUCAUGCACAUGGUUUCCACCUUCAUCCGAGACUUUGGAUAAUAUGUGAAACCGUGAGGUACCAGCUCCAGUAAACUCCCUAUUACGGUUUGAGUCUCCAGUGUUCUCCUUACCAAUAUUCGGCUUCCUUCCUCUCCUAGUGGCAAUCAUCCAGGGUCCGAAUAGUUCCACAUUAUUAUCACCAUUACUACCUACAGCCUGCUGGCCAGGAGCCUCAUUUUCCGGCACUGCCUGUUGGGGUUGACCAGCAUCUUCAGGGCUUGUCGAACUCUUAGCAUCCUUACAGUUGCUGCUACUAUGCCCGUAAGAUUCCACACUUAUAACAAAUUACUGGCAAUCCCUCGUAUUCCACCUUCUGGAUCUUCCCAUCCAAUUCAAACUGAGAUACCAGCGGCCUUGUUAACGAGAUACUUACUGCAAGACGUGCAAAUCUUCCACGAGAUGAGGAGGCUGUAUUCGAAUCGAUUUUAAUCACGUUACCCACUAACUGACCCAGCUUCUGUAGAACUUUUCGAUUAUAAAGAUGAACCGCAAGGCCUGGUAAACAGAUCCAUACCGUGACUUGAUCAAGAUCCGCAUUUGUGAAAUCAAAAGAGGGUGUCCAUGGCUGCACAGUUAAAUAUUGACCCAUUAUAAGCCACGGUCCCUUAGUUAAAACAUCCAUAGCAUCCCCUACCGAUCUGAAACGAACCAGAUAAUAAUUGUUUUCCAAGUCAAUCACGGAAAAACCCAUGGCUGAUUUCCACAUGACAUUUAAUCUUGCACACAUAGCUCUAUAGCCAAUUGUGCGGCCAAGCAACUUCACAACCACCGAGUUCUUCCAAGGCUCACUUAACUUAGCAUGAACCCUAGCCGAAAAAGUGAUGGAUGGCAUGGGUCCCUCGUUAGUUUCAAUAAUGUCUCCUUCCUCAAAAUCCCAGUCCUCUAGUCCACCUCCAAUUCCUUGCUCCAUCGCUUGUGUUGCAUUCACUAGGGUUUCUUUGUACGAAAACUGUACAGUGGUAUCCCCAGCAUGUUCUUCAUCACGAAAUCUUGCUUUUUUAAUCGUUCUAGCCUCCCUAAACGGCGGGGGAAAAAUCCCUCCGGAGUUAGGGUUUCCUUCACGUCCGAGGUUUUCGGAGCCUUCCAUAUGGUGUUGAUCUUUUUAAGUCACUCGUUUCAAUAUUUCAUUUAUUUCCUUUUCAAGCUAACAAUUAAUGUAUAUGAAUGUGCGGAUGCAUUGACAUAUAUCUUAUUUUAUCAUUUUGAAUGAAUUGCACGGCGAGGCUUAUCAACUUUGGAUGAAUCCUCCAAUUGUCGCAGUCCAAGACUGGCUGCAGUGAGUGAAAAUUUACCCAUAUAUAUGCUGGCUAUUUUUAUUGGCGACGAAUUCGUUGUAGUUGGUCCAUCUUGCUAUUCUCGGACAAUAUUAGAGAAAAUAAUCAUAUUAUUUCGCGUGAUGUGACCUUCCAUAACGUAUCAAUUGAAUUACUGUAAAAUUAUUGUGUAAGUUUAGGCCCAAUGGCACUUUAGUUCAUCACAUGAUAGCCUGGAUUUAAAAGGAAAACUAUAUUGCAUUGCUUCAAAAAAAAAAUUUAAUGUUUUUAAUAUGAAUAUUUUUAACUAUAUUCAGUUAAAAUAAUAUAUUCUUAAUAUUAAUAUUCAUAGAUGAAAUUCUUUUGCGGAUUUAAGAAUAAAAUAUCAAAUAGUUUUAUUUUUCUUUUGUUGUGUAACUUGGACCGAAAAAGAAAAUGAGCUUAACAUGACCCUCCUUCCGGCACUAUGCAUGUUUUUCUUUUAUUUUUCUUGUAUUGAUGACAGUGCUCUUGGUGCUUCUCAUCUGCUUCUUGCUUUGGUUUCAAACAAGUCUUUCUCCGUCGAGACAUUUAUUGUAAUUUGAUUUGGAGACAUCUGUCGUUCAAAUAUAUUUCAUAUGCAAGCUGUUGAUAAUUCUGCUUGAGAAAGCCUUCAAAGCAGCUGUGUGAUGUAAUAGAAGACUAUAUAUGCAAGCGGGUACCGAGCUCGAAUUCUUUCUUGAGUUUCUUUGAAUUAUUUGUGAAUGAGUUCUUAAUCGGCUGCUGCUCUUCAGGAAAAGGAAAGUGUUGCAAACUGGUGAAGCUGAUCGAUAAAAGCAAUGUACCAUCUUUGCUGCCAUGGAUCGAUGCCAGUGAGUUUUUUAAUUUGUCAACCUUUUUAAUAAUGCAUAUGUGUUUCUUCAACUUGAAGCGGCAUUUAAGACGAAAGAAGUGAUCUUUAAAGCAUUCUAUAGCAUUAUCCUUUCCUAUUAUAUAUAUCCAAUUGCUCCAAAUUAUUUGUAAAUUACUGAACACGAAUGCUGAUGAAUAAACUGAUGGCUCUAUGUAUGUAUGCACAUGCAUGGAGAAAUUUUAAGUCAGACAUUCCCAUAUAUAACUCGUGCUACCAAAUCAUUAAAUAAUCUUGAAAUCAAAGUAAUAAUUAAAUACAAAUAAAUUGCUCGAAUUGUACAUAUAUCUGAAUCAUGUAGUGAAGAAAAUACAACAACAACAACCAAUGGCUCAAAUUCCCCAUCAACUUCUAAUCUCAACACUUUUGAGUGUCAGAAGCAUUACUCUGCUACCAGUUAACAAACAUAUAAUUAGUAAUUUGCCAUUCACUUCCCUUUUAGGCCUAACACAUUUUCUAUAAAGGAGCCACAGAGUGAACUCAGCAGGAAACACUCAAUUUCAACCUACGUAGGACCAGGAAUUUCAACCAAAAAAAAAGUGUGCAAUUGCUUAUCCUAUCCUAUUGCUACUAGAAAGAAAGUGAACAAUUAAUUUCAGUGAAUAAAUUAAAAAAAAUUACUUCUGCAGAUACUCAAGCUAAGAACACAUUAACCCAUUAAAGACUCCAAAUUGCAUCAAACAAAUUGUUGUUAAACAAGUAAAACAAAGAAAGAGAGUUAAGGAAGCUGACCUAGUAGUAGGGGAGCUGAAGAAAGACUGCCAGUGAAUGUAAGAGAAAAUAAAAUGCAAUAAAUGGUGAAGUGCAGCUUUUCAUGUCAACUUGAAAUUGUUUCUUCUGUUUUUUUUUUUUUUAAUCUUUUGGAUUUUUAAAACAAAGAAAAUGAGGAGCAACCAGGGAGAUAAAAAGGGCGCCAAGGCAACUGUGUGUUGGGUUUAGAGCCCAAAAAAAAAGGAGGAUAAGACAUCGUGUUCUUGUGGAGACCAGACCUAUUACGUAACGUCCCCUUCAAUACCACUUGUUCCGUAUCUGGUUUUUUCUUCGUCUUUUACAUAUUUAUCCUGUGAUUUUACAAUAACUAAAUAAUCCCCGCAUAGUUUGCAAUUUUAUUCAUUUGAGCCCUACAGAUUUCAGUAAUAGGUAGAGUUGGCAAAACGGGUCAUCGGGUCGUGUUCGUGUCAUGUCAAAUUUAAGUCGACCCAAACCCGACCCAUUUAAUAAUCGUGUCAAAAUAUUGAGACCUAAAUCCGACACGGAAAAAUAAUCGGGUUACCCAAUAACUCGUUUAAUAUCAAUAUAUUGAACAAAAGUUACAUCAAAUAUUUACACACUAUCAUACAUACAUACAUAAUUUAUCGAUAUUAUAAAAUAUAUAUAUCUACUAAUAUAUUACACAUUUACACUAUUGAGGUUUUAAUUAUAUAUAUAUAUAUAUAUAUACCUACGAUGAUUGUUUAAGCCGCGGUAAACGCUUCUAGAACGCCCUCUGGCAGGAAGGAAGGUACUCAAAGAAAGUGGAGAUGAGGGAAACUCCGCUGGAGUGAGGGGAUUUAUCGGAAUCUCGUUCAGAGUGAGGAGUCAAUGAGGGUUUGCUUGUACUUGUGGUUCUAUUGAUAGGUGUUUGCAAUGGGCUUUCGUCUCAGGUAGUUCAGUCUCCGGGGUUACGCUUAGUUUCAUAUAAAAUAAAUGAAGAAGACAGCUGGACUUCAGAGUGGGAUCCUCCUAUGUUGUCGGCUGUUUGUUUGUCCGCAGCUAUUACAGCUUGUGCUCGAAUAUAUAUGUAUCCAUAUAUUUCCAGAUAUUAUAUAUCAAUAUAUAUAUAUAUUAUUUAUCAAUAUUAUAAAAUCUACAUAUCUAUCAAUUUUUUCACAUUUACACUAUUGAAGCUCUAAAUGUAUUUAAAAUUUUAUAAAUAAAAUAUUAUGUUUAUAUUCACCCUUUUAAAGAAUAAAAAAGAAAAUCAUUACUAAUAUUUGAGUUUUAAUGAUAAGAAUAUGUAAAUUAUUUUAAAAUAGAAAAUAUAAUCGGGUCAUUGAUCGGGUAAAUGGGUCAAGAAUUUUAACUCUAACCCGACACGGAAAAAAAUCGUGUUGACCCGGACCCGACCCAUUUAAUAAUCGUGUUAAAUUUGACGACCCAUAUUCAUUUAUUUAUGUCGUGUUCGUGUCGAGUAAUCGGGUCGUGUCAAAUUUUGCCAGCUCUAGUAAUAGGAAUUAUUAAGGGACAAGAGCGCAAAACAAAAACUCUGUCCACUACUGAUGAUAUAACAACGAACCUUUGUUUUUUUCUUCUUUUUUUUUUACAAAAUAUCAUUAGAGAAAUGAAAAUAUUAACUAACAUCACCCUACUGAUGAUAUAACAACGAACCUUUGUAGUUUCUGCCUGUUAAUAUGAAUUGAUCAGGAGUGUUUCCUCACUUAAAAAUUACGAAUUUACAAAUAUGUAUGUAAGUAUGUAUGUAUGUACGUACGUACGUGAGUAUGUAUGUACAUAUAUGCAUACACCUAUGUAACAUUUACUUAUCCAUCCUUUUGAGUUUAAAACUUAAUACACAUUUUCAUGAAAUUUUUAUUUUAUUAAGUAUACAACUACAGUAAUGUAUAUAUUUUUUAUAUAAGACAUGCCGUCAUAUUAUUCAUAAGUAAAACAAUGUGUUGUAAAUAGUUUAAUUAUUAAAUAUCAUACAAUAUCUUUCAACAACCGGCAAUAGACCUUUACCCAUUUUUCUUUUUCGACCAUUAGAUUCAUUCAGUUUACAUCCAACGGCAGUUUAGGAUGGAGACAAAAAGUGUGGUACGUUACCACAGUGGUAACAUUGGAUUGGGAUUGUAUGUCGUGUUUAAUUUGAAUUGGUUGAUUCCUCUAAUGAAUUAUUUUGAUAAAUUUAGUAGCAGUAUUUGGCGGCAAAAGUAUCAUUAAUUUUUGGAAAUAUGAUUAUGUUAUUAAUUAUUUUAGCAUUCUAAAAAGUCAAUGGUUAUGUUGGAAAUACUCUAAGGUAGAAUAGAGUACAAAUCACAGUCACACAUACAAAAUGAUAAAUAAUAAAAAAUAUAUUAUAUUUUUGAUCAUAUGAUUAUGAAGACGUAUUUUACCUUAAAGAAGUUCUAAUAAGCGAAUUCUUCUAAAACAAUAUAAAAUUUCUUUUUUAUCAUACUCAACCGCUUCAAACUUCUAAGAAGUAGAUAUACAAUGAGUGGAAUACUGAAUUGAGUGCGAGCUGCGGAUAAUAUAUAAAAUUGGGAUACAAGCUUCAAGGAAAGUGUAUUGCUAUUCAAAUGUAGAUUUCAAAUUAAGAAGAUAUGCCAGCAAAUUGUAUAAAAAUGUAUAAAUUGAUCAGUAACAUUAAUUCCAAAUGAUGAAAUGAGUUAUCUUGAUCAAAAGGUCAAGAACCUACCUUACUUCUCUUAGAGAUAACUUGCAUCAACCGUUGUGGUAUUGAUACUUGUCUUCAGCUAGUAAAAGACUAAAAGUGAAAGUUUCACAAUUGAAAUAAAGCUAAGGGAAGAUGCUAUGCUCCAUUUAUUAUUAUUAUUAUUGAUGUGGUCGAGAAGUAAAGCCAUGCAUAUGAUGAAGUAUAAAUAAGAAUGCAAUAGCCCGGAAUUCAUUUACACAAACACUUCAAUAUCCUUUUGAUCACUUUUGCAAACAUCAGUUUGUCUCUUGUAUUCACCAUGGUUGAUGCCAUCGUUUCCUCUCUUGUGGAGCAGCUGACUUCCUUCGCUGCUAAAGAGAUAAUACAACAGGUGAUCGAAGUUACACCCCCCAUAUUAUAAAUACUUCUAAUGAUUUUAAUUGGUUUUGUUUUUAUCGGAAACAUUAACUUUGCUUUAUUUUAUUUAUUUAGGCAUUUUAAAUUUUAAAAUUUGAAUUGAAUUCAAUUAAAAUGUGAUGUAGCUAGUAACCACUUUUUUUAUUUCAUUUAUAUUCUCAAUAACUACCCAUAUUUUGGUAACUUACUGUAACCCCCGUAUCUAAGAAAUGAUUAAAACCCACAAUUUUAACUCCACAUAAAUAUUCCAUGUUGAGCUAAGUUUUUGCAUAACAUUCAAGUUUGUUAAAUAGUCAUUAAUUUAAUGUUUAGUAAAAACUUAUCUCUGAAAAUUUUCAUAAUUUUCUUACAUUCUUUGAGUUUGGUGAGUGACUUCAUAUAAUUUCUUUUCAAUUUAAAUUUUAAUUUGGUUUCUGAUAUAGUCUCUUUACUGAAUUUAUAUCUUUUAUGAUUCUUGGAUUUUGGGCUCCAACUUUUUAGGAUUUGAUAGUCACAUUUUAUGGCAUGCUUAGAUUGAUUUUCAUGAUUUGAGUACUCGUUAAGUGACUGAGAAUUUGACAAAAGUUUGAAAGGAAAUCCGUUUCACGAUUCUUAUGUGGAAGGUUCGUAAAAUCAUGAAAUUUGGAUAGGAUUCGCUAGCAAUAUGUACAAGACUCUUCAUGAAGUUUCAUAAUUUUUCGUUCGGUCUGGGGUGGUACAGGUGAAACUUGUGGUUGGUGUUAAAGAAGAAGUGAAAAGCCUUAUCAGCCACCUUCAAGCCAUUCAAGCUGUGCUCGAUGAUGCAGAGGAAAAGCAAGUGAAGGACAAAGCUGUUAGACAUUGGCUGGGCAGGCUCAAGUAUGCAUCCUACGACAUUGAAGAUGUGUUGGAUGAGUGGAUCACAGCUAGACACAAAUUGCAAAUUGAGGGUGGCGUUGAUGACAAUGCUCUUGCUGCUCCUCAAAAGAAAAAGAAGGUAUGUUUCUGCUUUCCUGCCUCUUGUUUUGGAUUCAAACAAGAAGAAUUUGGUUUCAGACAAGUCUUUCUACGUUAUGACAUUGCCAACAAGAUCAAAGAAAUGAAUAAAGAGCUACAUGAUAUUGCCACUCAAAAAGACAUGUUUAAUCUUGUUAAGAGUGGCAAUAAAAGUGGUGAAAGACCAAGGCGUGUACAGAGUACCUCCUUGAUUGAUGAGGAAGAGAUUUGUGGUAGAGUUGGUGAGAAGAAUGAACUCAUAAGCAAGCUGUUGCGUGAGAGUAGCGAGCAACAAAAAGGCCUCCAUAUGAUCUCAAUUGUUGGUAUGGGAGGCAUAGGGAAAACUACUCUUGCACAACUAGCUUGUAAUGAUGACGUGGUGAAGAGAAAGUUCGACAAAAUUCUGUGGGUGUGUGUAUCAGAAACUUUUGAGGAGUUUAGGGUUGCCAAAGCAAUCGUUGAAGCUUUGGAUGGUCGUGAAUCUCAUUUAGGUGAAUUCCAAUCUCUUCUUAAACAUAUUGAUGAAUCCAUUGCAGGGAAGAGCUUUCUUCUUGUCUUAGAUGACGUGUGGGAUGGAAAUUACUUGAAAUGGGAACCAUUCUAUCGUUGUCUAAAGAAUGGUCUCCAUGGAAGUAAAAUUUUAGUUACCACACGUAGUGGGUCCGUUGCAUCCACGAUGGGAUCCAUAGAUAUUAUUCCCAUUGAGAAAUUAGCUGAAGAGGAAUGUUGGUUGUUGUUUAACAAGAUAGCAUUUUUUGGUAGGCCUAUCGAGGAACGUGAAAAAUUCGAACGAAUUGGGCGAAGAAUUGCUGGCAAGUGCAAAGGUUUACCUCUUGCAACAAAGACAAUAGGUAGUCUCAUGCGUUCUAAACAAACUGAAGAAGAGUGGAAAAGAAUUUUAAAUAGUGAUUUAUGGAAAGUAGAAGAGAUUGAGAAAGAUGUUUUGUCCUCUUUAUUGUUGAGUUACAAUGAUUUGCCAUCUAGAGUAAAAAGAUGUUUUUCAUAUUGUGCUCUCUUUCCAAAAGACUACGAUAUAGAAAAAGACAAACUAAUCACAUUGUGGAUGGCUCAAGGUUAUCUUAGUGCAGAAGAAGAUGAGGAGAUGGAGACUAUAGGUGAAGAGUAUUUUAGCAUCUUAGCUUCUCGCUCUUUCUUUCAAGAGUUUAAGAAAAGUUAUGAUAAUCGGAUUAUAGAGUGUAAGAUGCAUGAUAUGGUACAUGAUUUUGCCCGAUUUGUAAGUCAAAAUGAAUGUUUUUCGAUGGCAAUUAAUGGUAGUGAAGAACCAAACGCCACAAACUCUGUUGAUGAGAAGGUCCGUCAUUUAAUGUUAAUCUUUAGUAUAGAGGCUUCAUUACCUGUUUCCACUCCUAGAGUUAAAAGAAUGCGUACCCUCUUAAUUAACGAUAGUAGAUCUGAUCAAUCAUUAUUAAAUGGUGAGAUCCUAGAAGAAUUGUUUAGGGAAUUGACAAGUUUAAGGGCAUUAGAUUUUGACAAAUUGUACCACUCAAUUUGGUCUUCGACUCUGGAGAUUCCGAGAAACAUAGAAAAGCUGGUACAUUUAAGAUACCUUAAUUUGUCUUCUCAGAAAAUAGUGGAGCUACCGGAGACAUUGUGCGAGUUAUAUAAUCUAGAAAAGUUAGAUAUUAGUUUUUGUU